rnacentral:snRNA from 1 species
ACAUUUAAAUCAAACAAUAG